rnacentral:rRNA from 1 species
GACGAACGCUGGCGGCGUGCUUAACACAUGCAAGUCGAACGUGAUUUUUGUGGAAAUUCUUUCGGGAAUGGAAAUGAAAUGAAAGUGGCGAACGGGUGAGUAACACGUGAGCAACCUACCUUACACAGGGGGAUAGCCGUUGGAAACGACGAUUAAUACCGCAUGAGACCACAGAAUCGCAUGAUAUAGGGGUCAAAGAUUUAUCGGUGUAAGAAGGGCUCGCGUCUGAUUAGCUAGUUGGAAGGGUAAAGGCCUACCAAGGCGACGAUCAGUAGCCGGUCUGAGAGGAUGAACGGCCACAUUGGAACUGAGACACGGUCCAAACUCCUACGGGAGGCAGCAGUGGGGAAUAUUGCACAAUGGGGGGAACCCUGAUGCAGCGACGCCGCGUGAGCGAAGAAGGUUUGCGAAUCGUAAAGCUCUGUCCUAUGAGAAGAUAAUGACGGUAUCAUAGGAGGAAGCCCCGGCUAAAUACG